rnacentral:rRNA from 1 species
UGGGGAAUAUUGGACAAUGGGGGCAACCCUGAUCCAGCCAUGCCGCGUGAGUGAUGAAGGCCCUAGGGUUGUAAAGCUCUUUUGUGCGGGAAGAUAAUGACGGUACCGCAAGAAUAAGCCCCGGCUAACUUCGCGCCAGCAGCCGCGGUAAUACGAAGGGGGCUAGCGUUGCUCGGAAUCACUGGGCGUAAAGGGUGCGUAGGCGGGUUUCUAAGUCAGAGGUGAAAGCCUGGAGCUCAACUCCAGAACUGCCUUUGAUACUGGAAGUCUUGAGUAUGGCAGAGGUGAGUGGAACUGCGAGUGUAGAGGUGAAAUUCGUAGAUAUUCGCAAGAACACCAGUGGCGAAGGCGGCUCACUGGGCCAUUACUGACGCUGAGGCACGAAAGCGUGGGGAGCAAACGGGAUUAGAUACCCUGGUAGUCCACGCCGUAAACGAUGAAUGCCAGCCGUUAGUGGGUUUUACUCACUAGUGGCGCAGCUAACGCUUUUAAGCAUUCCGCCUGGGGAGUACGGUCGCAAGAUUAAAAACUUAAAGGAAUUGACGGGGU